rnacentral:tRNA from 6 species
GCGCUUGUAGCUCAGUUGGAUAGAGCACUUGGCUACGAACUAAGGGGUCGGGAGUUCGAAUCUCUCCAAGCGCA